GCCCUACGGGGGGCUGCAGGCGCGAAAACUUCACAAUGUGCGAAAGCACGAUGAGGGGAUCCCAAGUGUUGGUUCGUAAGAAUCAUCUGUUUCUUUGUCUAAAAAAUAAAGAGAGUAAGAGCUGGGUAAGACGGGUGCCAGCCGCCGCGGUAAUACCUGCAGCUCAAGUGGUGGCCGCUAUUAUUGGGCCUAAAACGUCCGUAGCCGGUUUAGUAAAUGCUUGGGUAAAUUGUGUAGCUUAACUAUACGAAUACCGGGUAGACUGCUAAACUUGGGACCGGGAGAGGCUAGAGGUACUCCUAGGGUAGAGGUGAAAUUCUGUAAUCCUAGGGGGACCACCAGUGGCGAAGGCGUCUAGCCAGAACGGGUCUGACGGUGAGGGACGAAGCCCUGGGGCGCAAACCGGAUUAGAUACCCUAGUAGUCC
rnacentral:rRNA from 1 species